rnacentral:rRNA from 1 species
AGAGUUUGAUCCUGGCUCAGAUUGAACGCUGGCGGCAUGCCUUACACAUGCAAGUCGAACGGCAGCACGGGUGCUUGCACCUGGUGGCGAGUGGCGAACGGGUGAGUAAUACAUCGGAACAUGUCCUGUAGUGGGGGAUAGCCCGGUGAAAGCCGGAUUAAUACCGCAUACGAUCUACGGAUGAAAGCGGGGGACCUUCGGGCCUCGCGCUAUAGGGUUGGCCGAUGGCUGAUUAGCUAGUUGGUGGGGUAAAGGCCUACCAAGGCGACGAUCAGUAGCUGGUCUGAGAGGACGACCAGCCACACUGGGACUGAGACACGGCCCAGACUCCUACGGGAGGCAGCAGUGGGGAAUUUUGGACAAUGGGCGAAAGCCUGAUCCAGCAAUGCCGCGUGUGUGAAGAAGGCCUUCGGGUUGUAAAGCACUUUUGUCCGGAAAGAAAUCCUUGGUUCUAAUAUAACCGGGGGAUGACGGUACCGGAAGAAUAAGCACCGGCUAACUACGUGCCAGCAGCCGCGGUAAUACGUAGGGUGCGAGCGUUAAUCGGAAUUACUGGGCGUAAAGCGUGCGCAGGCGG